rnacentral:lncRNA from 1 species
GUGUACGUGCUCAGGCUGGACAGUCCUCCAAACGCCAGCGAAGAGCGCGGGGACCCCGAAGUUCACUUCGCCGGCUGGAGGCAGCGCUUCGAGGGAAAAAUCGUCAUCAUAUUCUCCAUCGUGGUCGCACUGUUGAUAGGAGUCGCCGCGUGCUUCGCCUUUGGAACGAACUCGAAGGCGAAGGCAUCCUCAGGGUCCCACGAGCCCUUGACGGAUUUCACGGUUCCUAAGACUCUGACGGCGACGAGACGGCAGACGCAGGAAUCGCAGCUCGAAGUGGAGGGCCUGGCGACGGGUAGCGGAGGCCCCGACAAUGCGUCGGUGAACUGGAACACUUACAGCCAGCUCCAAGAUUCAACGAGCACCACGCUCGACUCGUCCACGGAAGUGAACUGCUCCUCCACAGUGGCCUCUCAAUGAAACUGUCACUGUGAUGACGUAAUGACACUUCGUAUGCGCUUUACAAGCUAAUAACGAUUACUGAAAAAAAAUGUGACAAAAGAAUAGGAGACUAACCUGACAAAAUAAGGUAUG